UACAGAGGUCUCAAGCGUUGUUCGGAUUCACUGGGCGUAAAGGGUGCGUAGGUGGUCGGGUAAGUCUGCUGUGAAAUCCCGCAGCUCAACUGCGGAACUGCAUUGGAAACUAUCCGGCUAGAGGAAUGGAGGGGAGACUGGAAUUCUCGGUGUAGCAGUGAAAUGCGUAGAUAUUGGGAGGAACACCAGUGGCGAAGGCGGCUCACUGGACCGGUACUGACGCUGAGGCGCGAAAGCGUGGGGAGCAAACAGG
rnacentral:rRNA from 1 species